rnacentral:rRNA from 1 species
GACGGAGGAUGCAAGUGUUAUCCGGAAUCACUGGGCGUAAAGCGUCUGUAGGUGGUUUAAAAAGUCCACUGUUAAAGGUUGAAGCUUAACUUCAAAAAUGCCGUGGAAACUUUUAAACUUGAGUAUGAUAGGGGUAGAGGGAAUUUCCAGUGGAGCGGUGAAAUGCGUAGAUAUUGGAAAGACCACCGAUGGCGAAGGCACUCUACUGGGCUAUUACUGACACUGAGAGACGAAAGCUAGGGGAGCAAAUGGGA